UACGGAGGGUGCAAGCGUUAUCCGGAUUUACUGGGUUUAAAGGGUGUGUAGGCGGGCAUUUAAGUCUGGGGUGAAAUCUCCGGGCUUAACUCGGAACGGUCAACUGAUACUGCGCGGCUAGAGUGCAGAAGGGGCAACUGGAAUUCUCGGUGUAGCGGUGAAAUGCGUAGAUAUCGAGAGGAACACCUGCGGCGAAGGCGGGUCUCUGGGCCGAUACUGACGCUGAGGAGCGAAAGCGUGGGGAGCGAACAGG
rnacentral:rRNA from 1 species